rnacentral:rRNA from 1 species
UUAAAUGAAGUUGACGGGACCCGCACAAGCGGUGGAUGAUGUGGUUAAUUCGAUGCAACGCGAAAACCUUACCACCUUUGACAUGUACGGAAGUUGCCAGAGAUGGCUUCGUGCUCGAAAGAGAGCCGUAACACAGGUGCUGCAUGGCUGUCGUCAGCUCGUGUCGUGAGAUGUUGGGUUAAGUCCCGCAACGAGCGCAACCCUUGUCAUUAGUUGCUACGAAAGGGCACUCUAAUGAGACUGCCGGUGACAAACCGGAGGAAGGUGGGGAUGACGUCAAGUCCUCAUGGCCCUUAUAGGUGGGGCUACACACGUCAUACAAUGGCUGGUACAAAGGGUUGCCAACCCGCGAGGGGGAGCCAAUCCCAUAAAGCCAGUCGUAGUCCGGAUCGCAGUCUGCAACUCGACUGCGUGAAGUCGGAAUCGCUAGUAAUCGUGGAUCAGCAUGUCACGGUGAAUACGUUCCCGGGUCUU